rnacentral:rRNA from 1 species
UGAGCAAUCUGCCCUUCUCUUCGGAAUAAGCGUUGGAAACGACGUCUAAUGCCGAAUACGACCUCCUUUCACAUGAUCGGAGGUGGAAAGCUCCGGCGGAGAAGGAUGAGCUCGCGGCCUAUCAGCUAGUUGGUGUGGGUAACGGCCCACCAAGGCGACGACGGGUAGCCGGUCUGAGAGGAUGGCCAGCCACAUUGGGACUGAGACACGGCCAGACUUCGUACGGGAGCA